rnacentral:rRNA from 1 species
UACAGAGGGUGCAAGCGUUAAUCGGAAUUACUGGGCGUAAAGGGCGCGUAGGUGGUUAAUUAAGUCAGAUGUGAAAUCCCCGGGCUUAACCUGGGAAUUGCAUUUGAAACUGAUUGGCUAGAGUACGGGAGAGGGAAGUGGAAUUUCCGGUGUAGCGGUGAAAUGCGUAGAUAUCGGAAGGAACACCAGUGGCGAAGGCGACUUCCUGGCCCGUUACUGACACUGAGGCGCGAAAGCGUGGGGAGCGAAC